AUUGAACGCUGGCGGCAGGCUUAACACAUGCAAGUCGAGCGGGGAAGGGUAGCUUGCUACCUAACCUAGCGGCGGACGGGUGAGUAAUGCUUAGGAAUCUGCCUAUUAGUGGGGGACAACAUUCCGAAAGGAAUGCUAAUACCGCAUACGCCCUACGGGGGAAAGCAGGGGAUCUUCGGACCUUGCGCUAAUAGAUGAGCCUAAGUCAGAUUAGCUAGUUGGUGGGGUAAAGGCCUACCAAGGCGACGAUCUGUAGCGGGUCUGAGAGGAUGAUCCGCCACACUGGGACUGAGACACGGCCCAGACUCCUACGGGAGGCAGCAGUAGGGAAUAUUGGACAAUGGGCGGAAGCCUGAUCCAGCCAUGCCGCGUGUGUGAAGAAGGCCUUUUGGUUGUAAAGCACUUUAAGCGAGGAGGAGGCUACCGAGAUUAAUACUCUUGGAUAGUGGACGUUACUCGCAGAAUAAGCACCGGCUAACUCUGUGCCAGCCGCCGCGGUAAAAC
rnacentral:rRNA from 1 species